CCAGGUUCCAGGUGAUUUAAGCCAGACGUCGGAUGACCCCAGCCUGUCAGAUUUUGAGACGGCUCAUCGCGCUCUCAUCAAUGUGUGGAUCCCCUCUGUGUUCCUGCAGGGCAGAGCUGCCAAUGCCUACCAUGUCUACCAGGUGUACAUCCGUAUCCUGGACAAUGAGUGGAAUGUGUACAGGCGCUACACCGAGUUCAGGGAGCUCCACAACCACCUGAGGACCCAGUUUCCACAGGUGGACGCCUUCAACUUUCCACCCAAGAAAGCCAUAGGGA